UCUGAAUCGCCACCCACCGUCCUAACCCUUGUCUUAGCUCCAUUGUACAUGUCCUUGAUUACUCUGAUGUAGGCUUCCGGCACGCUCUUCGCUUCCAAGCACCUCCCUUGGGACCUUGUCAUACGUCUUCUCCAAGUCGAUAAGCACCAUGUGCAUGUCCUUCUUCUUAUCCCUGAACUGCUCCAUCAGCCUCCUGACAAGGUGGA
rnacentral:lncRNA from 1 species